CUUGGGGGAACCACUUGGCAAGGCACCCGUGGAAACUCCUUUUACUACCAGUUUAAAUUUCACCACCCCAACUGGUUCUCCUGAAUCUAUUCUCAAGUGAGUAAGACACAACCCACCCUCUGCAGCCUCAACCACAUUCCUGAGAACAAACAAAUGUGCAGAGCUAUGGCCAGAAGAUGACAAAAGCACACAGUAGUCCAUUAAGCAGAAGACAGAGGCAGUCAUCAGUUUGUAAGAAGUCUGUGCUGCUGUUUGCUGGAGUUUCUGGCUAUGAGCAAUCCAGUUGUUAGCCUUGGAAAACAGCAGAUGCCAUUGAUGAGUUGUGCACAGCUUCCAGGCAAGUUGUUCUUGCUGAGCACAAUGUGACAUGGUUUGGGAUAUCCGUGUGGUCAUCAGGUGGUCCUGGCUGGGUCUUCUCCUCUCGUGCACCCUGGUCCACUCACUGAGAGAGCAUCAUGAGAAAAGCUUGAGGCUGCACAAGCCCUGUUCUGCAGGAGCUAAACUGAGGGGUUCUUACCACCAUUUUGGUCAGAAAUCCAAAAGCUAUCACCAUACAAGUUUCUAUGAAGAAUUCUGUCCCAGUGAAAACCAGUACAAUUCCCCACACAAACAAGCAGAAGCAUGCCUGUUCUUCCCAGGUCAUCCACCUCUCUAUUUGCCUCCUUGGGGAUUUUUGGUCCAUCUUUUAGGGAGCCCCAUGCUACUUCCUCUGUCUCUACUUGCAGGAAAAAAAA